AUGGCGACCCUGGAGUACGUCCAGAUCGUCGGCGUGCCGUCGCCGCUCCCGGUGGCCUGGCUGGAGGGGGGCGUCCUGGCCGAGUACCUGCAGUUCCUCGAGGAGGCGGAGGAGGCCGCGCCCCUUCCCGGCGUCAAGUGGCUGGAGGGGGACGUCCUGGCCAACUUUCUCGAGUUUCUCGGAGAGGACGAGCCGGUCGUGCACUACGGUAGGAGCAACAGCAGCAGCGGAAGCAACGGCGGCGACUUCAUGGAGGAGGAGGACGACGACGAGGAGAUGGCGUUUCUGCUGCGCCACAUCACGAGCCUCCCGGCGGUCAUGGCGCGCACGACGGCGGCGGCCACCUCGGUGCAAGAUUAA
rnacentral:rRNA from 1 species